rnacentral:lncRNA from 1 species
AAAAAAAUCAAACCUCAUUUAUGAUUUUCUAUCCAGUUAUAAUUUUAAUGAAAUCAAAUGAAUCCUUCCUGAUCAGGGUAAACAUGUACUUGAACCACAUAAGGAAUUGGUCAUUUAAGAUGAAUUCUCCCAACUUCUAAGCCUAUAGAUUUGUUGACCACACCAUGUAGACAUGGCUACGUUCUCUGCUCAGCAUAUGAUGAUGUUGAAAUCGAAGGGUUGGCUGGACUGAGUUCUCAUCUCUAGGCUCUGGGUGGGGCCGGGGCGGGGGCGGAGAUCCUCCUUGAGGCUUGUUUUCAUUGGCAGAUGUCAGUCCUUUAGGACUGAGGACAUGAACCUUAUUUACAUGCUGACUGUCAGCUAGUGGCUACCAGCCCCCCAAAUUCCUCGCCUUUGUCUCCCUCCAUCCUCAAGCCAGCAAACGGUGUGUUGAAUCCUCAUGCUUCAAAUUUCUGACUUCCUCUUCUGAGAUGAGCCAGGGAAACCUCCAAGCUCUGAAAGGGCUCAUGUGACUAGGUCAGGCCCACCAGGGUAAUCUCCUUAUCUCAAGGUCAACCGUGCUGUCUCAUCUAAUCUAAUCACAGGAGUAAAAUCCAUUAUAGUCACAAACCUGGGGACUAUACAAGAUGUUUAUGACAGGUGUGGGGGUAUUGGACACCAUCUCCGAAUUCUGCUGGCCACACCCGGCUUCGAGAAGGAUCAACCCAUGGCCAAUCUUGUUUCAUCUUGCUGCAGUUGGAUUCCCUGGGAAGCAGGCUCGGAGACGAAGGUUAGCUUGCGGGCAGUUUAGUAGGAGUGUGGGCAGGAUCAACUCUGUGCAAGGGAGAGGAAGGAAGAGAGGGCUCUGAAGCAGGGAUGGUCCUUCAGAAGUAUUCCAAGGUGGGGCAACUCCGUGGGGCAGGGCCAAGACCCUGGAUGUGGGCUGCCCCAGGCAGGGGUUCAUGGGGCGCUCCCCCUGAAGAUACGACAGUGGACCACACAGCACUGUGUUUCUGCAGCCUCUGCAGCACAUUCAGCAUUAUUUUGAGGCAGCAUCUGUUCUUUUGCGAUGUGAGCAGCUGUUCGUGCUUCACAUCUGAGCAGCGUCAGUUCUGA